AUGGAACAAUGUAGGCAAGGGAAGUCGGCAAAACGGAUCCGUAACUUCGGGAAAAGGAUUGGCUCUGAGGACUGUGCUCGGGGGUCCCGGCCCCGAACCCGUCGGCUGUCGGCGGAUUGCUCGAGCUGCUCACGCGGCGAGAGCGGGUCGCUGCUUGCCGGCCGGGGGACGGACCGGGAAUCGCCCCUUCGGGGGCUUUCCCCGAGCAUGAAACAGUCGACUCAGAACUGGUACGGACAAGGGGAAUCCGACUGUUUAAUCAAAACAAAGCAUUGCGAUGGUCCUCGCGGAUGCUGA
rnacentral:rRNA from 1 species